rnacentral:rRNA from 1 species
GGGUCCCUACACUGGCAGUUCGACGGGGAAACACCGGGAAGAAUUUUUCGGAGGGAUUUCGGUAUAGUUUAGUGGGCGGACGGGUGAGUAACACGUGAGCAACCUGCCUUUCGAGAGGGGAAUAACGGCCGGAAACGGUCGCUAAUACCGCAUAACAUACUGGGAGGACAUCCUGCUGGUAUCAAAGAUUUAUCGCUCGAAGAUGGGCUCGCGUCCGAUUAGGUAGUUGGUGAGGUAACGGCUCACCAAGCCGACGAUCGGUAGCCGGACUGAGAGGUUGAACGGCCACAUUGGGACUGAGACACGGCCCAGACUCCUACGGGAGGCAGCAGUGGGGGAUAUUGCACAAUGGGGGAAACCCUGAUGCAGCGACGCCGCGUGUGGGAAGACGGUCCUCUGGAUUGUAAACCACUGUCCCCAGGGACGAAGAUGACGGUACCUGGGGAGGAAGCCCCGGCUAACUACGUGCCAGCAGCCGCGGUAAUACGUAGGGAGCGAGCGUUGUCCGGAAUUACUGGGUGUAAAGGGAGCGUAGGCGGGGAUGCAAGUUGGGUGUCAAAACUACCGGCUCAACUGGUAGUCGCACUCAAAACUGCAGCUCUUGAGUGAAGUAGAGGCAGGCGGAAUUCCUAGUGUAGCGGUGAAAUGCGUAGAUAUUAGGAGGAACACCAGUGGCGAAGGCGGCCUGCUGGGCUUUUACUGACGCUGAGGCUCGAAAGUGUGGGGAACAAACAGGAUUAGAUACCCCGG